UUACCCCCCCACCUUCGAGUCGAGUGGAACAUUACCGACCACGCGAGGGUUCUUCUUCUUCUUCCUGCUCCUUGAACCCGUCGCGAUCGCGCGAAGCUCCGAUCGAGGCGGCGAUGCGGCGCCCCGGGGCCGGCCGUGGCGGCGGCGGCGGCGGCGGGGAGGUGCGGCGGGGAUCGGCGGUGACGAGGGCGGUGGACGCGGUGUUCGCCUUCGUCCGCAUGGCGGAGUUCGAGAUCCUCUUCUUCCUCUUCCUCGUCGUCGCCUUCCUCUUGUUCAAAGACCUGACGUCAAGGCCCGAGUACAAUCAGAUCUUCGUGAAGAAGCCAGGUGGCAAUGAUUUCUGGUCUUGAUAGGGCUGAGAAGUUGCUGCUUCUUCAGGGAUGGAUAGUAGUAGAACAAGGCCGGCAGGAAGUGGCUGGACGACGGCGGCGGCGGCAUCAGGGGAUGGAGAUGAAGCCCGCAGCAGCAGCGGCUUUGCUCGGCUUCGGAACAAUCUUGGGAGGCUUACCAGUCCAAAGAGCCUGUGCAUCCCCUCCCUCCCCCUGUUGUUGCUAUGGCAUCAAAUGCAACUUACCUAACAGUCUCCUUUUGGCUCCUGCUCCUUCACACCCAAAACUUGUGGAUGCUAUAAAUGUGUUUCCUGAAUUUUUUGCUUGUCUCAUUUCUAUUCAAGCCCUAGUUUGGGAAUGCGGCGGCUAAACUUAUGCUAUUUAAUCUUAAGAAUUUUGGAUUUUCAGAUAUCGAUCAUCAAAUUUUCAGUCAA